UGGAAAUGGUUGUCGAAGGAAAUUGAAGGAAAUCCUUGGACUGCUGCGCUUUUCAUUGUAAUUUUGUGUAAAUAAAAUUUAGUAUAUUUGUUUUGUAAUAAGUACUUAAAUGUUAUCAGUGGACUAUUUUAGUUGCUAUAAUGUCACGUAGUUCGAUUGAGGGGAAACUGAAAGGUUUGCAAGAAAGAUUCGAAAAUGAAAUGCGUAUUGAAAGAGAAGGUGGUUUCAACAACCAAGGUGGAAUUGGGACUCCUAGACCUGGGAGCGGCAGGAGCAGGCCGAGGCCCCCACUUAUGUUUUCAAACAGAGAAAUCCCACCGUUCCCACCGAGAUCACCGCAAGCUACUGAGACUGAAUACAGAAUGCGAGAGGUGUACAAGGUGAGCGGCAAACUGAACGUAGACGGCGUAGAGUACAGAUCGCACGUGGACGACUUGCAGCAGCUGGGGGAACUCGGCAGCGGCACCUGCGGCCAUGUCGUUAAGAUGCUGCACAAGCCUUCUAACACUGUUAUAGCUGUUAAACAAAUGCGUCGCUCGGGCAACUCGGAAGAAACCAAGCGAAUUCUAAUGGAUUUAGACGUAGUAGUCCGGUCUCACGACUGUCCGUACAUCGUGAGGUGUUUGGGCUGCUUCGUCACCGAUGCUGAUGUCUGGAUCUGCAUGGAGCUCAUGGCUUCUUGCUUUGAUAAGCUGCUGAAGAGGCUUGGAGCUCCCAUACCUGAGGCUAUACUGGGGAAGGUCACUGUGGCGACGGUGAACGCUCUAUCGUACCUGAAAGACACGCAUGGAGUGAUCCACCGCGACGUGAAGCCGAGCAACAUCCUGCUAGACGAGCGCGGCAACGUCAAGCUGUGUGACUUCGGCAUCAGCGGCCGCCUCGUCGACUCCAAGGCGAAGACUCGGAGCGCGGGCUGUGCUGCCUACAUGGCCCCGGAGCGGAUAGACCCGCCGGACCCGACGCGGCCGGACUACGACAUCCGCGCGGACGUGUGGUCGCUGGGCAUCUCGCUCGUCGAGCUCGCCACCGGCGUCUUCCCCUACCGGGACUGUCAGAACGACUUCGAAGUGCUCACCAGGGUAAUAGCGGAUGAUCCGCCUCAACUACCGGACACAGAUGACUUCUCGCCAGAAUUCAAACUAUUCGUGUCACAGUGCCUAACAAAAAACUACAGACAACGCCCAAAAUACGCGAAGCUUCUAGAACACCCGUUCGUAGUGAAAUCAGCUCGCAGUUCCAUCUCCGUCGGCGCCUGGUACGCCUCCCUCUCCAUCUCGGGGAACAAGCCGGGCGGCGUGACGUCACAGCCGCCGGCUAGCAAUGGCGUCGAGACGCCCGUUACGCCGCAGCCAGUGAGGAACUUUGUGACGAGUUCCCAGCAUUGGAUGGAGCAGGUCACGCCUACGCCGGCUAGAGCAUGGUGGGCGACGAGUAGUAACGCGAGCGCUGGUGGCAGCAGUUCUCAGCCCACGAGCCUAGAAACUGAUAUGUGCAACCACUCGCCUUAUCCCAGGAGAAGAACAAUAGACGCAUGUGCAUCUCCCCCGCCGCCGCCAGUCCGUCGCGUGUCCGCCGACAACCGCUGGCGAGCCUCGCCCGCUAGUUCGGGUAACACUAGUCCUAUAGUCCUGCAGAGGUUUUACCAUCAAAACCAGCAGAGGAGAUCGAGGGUAGACCUGCACUCGACGCCUAGGCAUAGAAGUUUAAGUAGAGAACACAGUACUGGCCGGUCGCCCGAGCCUCCUCCGAGAACCAGUCGGCAGCACCAAAUGUUAGGACAUGAAGCAAACGGCAGCAUGACGGAGUUGGAGCCGCCCGCGCUACAUGAGCGCCUGCACCCGCAUCCACCCUCGCCGUUAUUACUCAACGAUAGGUUAUCAGAAGGUCGCAGUCAAAGCUUAACUCGUGCGGAGCUCCGUAACGGGUACCGCGCGGAACCGCCGCCGCCCAGCGCCGCGCACAAACACCACCACGAUGACCAGGCAAUUAGUGACGAAGGAGAGCAGCCAGCCUAUGACUACUCUGAGAUAGUUCGCGUCCGCGCCGGCCGUCACUCCGCACGCAUACUGUGUAUUAUACAUGUGUGAAAUGAUUGCUAAACAUGGAAUUAUUUAAAUAAAAAAUAAUAAUAUUAGUUAAUUUUUUAAAGACUUGAGAGUAACUUUUGAGUUAAUAAAUUAUAAUUUUGUUGGUUUAACUAUAGAUGUGCCUUAUACAUGAAGAUGUUUCUCCAAAUACUUCGAUACUGCAUAAUGUACUAUACUGCAUUUGAUAUAGCAUCUUAGCUCCUUAAUUUGCCUUAAAAUUUAACAUUGAAUUUAUCGAUAAAAUUAAAAUUGUGUUUAUCGAUACUUAAACAUGAUUAUAAAAUCUAGUUUUUUAAAUGAAAAUUUCAUGCAAUCAUUUCACAAAUCAUCUCAUUCUCAUACAGUCUGUUUCUACCCUUCCAUCGUGUAAAUAUCAAGGAAGAAAACCAUGAAGUUAUGGGAUAUAUGCUUUUGACGCGUCCUAUGUGCUUUGCGGUUAUAUGCUUUUGCACAAAUAAAGCAAAACAGCCAAACUGGCUUUGCCGAAAUACCUAUUGGAAGUAUAUUCAUCGAGUGCUGUAGAUGGAUUUUUGCAAAGUAUACAUAAAAUGGUAUUUAUUUGUGUUUUUAGUAUCGAUAUUUCAUCAUAGAGUGAUCUCUCUAUGUUUCAUGUCUAUAGUAUAAAAGUGGCCUUUGUUUUCCAUUAUCAUGAGUGAAUAACAAUAGAUAUCAAGGUUACAUUUUAUGAUUUUCAGAGAAAAAUAUCGAUAUUAAAACCGAAGAUUUUCUAUCUACAAAACUCGAUAUCAAAAUUUUGUGUCGACAUUUUUGUAUGUGCUAAUUAACACUUUGUACGCCACGAAGCAGACACAAUGCCAUAACUAUUGUGUGAACCAGUGGCGUUCAGAGACUUCUAUCGAUAAAUAUUAUCGACAUUAGAGAUGUAGCCGCAAAUUAUAUUUAUUACCUAACCCACUCAUUGUAUGUACAGCAAUCUUAACAUGAGCUAAUGGGAAACAUAUCGAUAUGUAAAUCUUUAAACUAUCGACAUUUUCACCUGUGGUAAUUGUUAAGAGUGCAGCUUUUCAAAAUUGUUUGUUCUCCCAAAUGUUUCUUACUGACGUUUUGAUGUAUGUAAUAUGUUAUUUUAACACGAUUAAUGGAACUUUUUCCUUACUGUACACCCAAUAUUUAACUCAACCUUUUCGCAUAACAAAGUACAUAAAAGACUUUUUGGUCUGCUACCUAUUUAAAAAGAGAUCUCUAAAGAGUACACGUUCAAAAAAGGUUCCAUAGACCGUGUCUGUGCUUUGCCGCUGUCCUUCCGCGUCCCACACAUCGCCUGCCCAUUCGUAGCUCUGUCACAUGCCUCGCUACACUAAACACGACCUUAACACCUUGCUAAUAAGGGCUACACUUGUAUGUACACUAAGGGUUAGUAGCUUGGGAAGCGUCUCGCUAGAUUUGUACUGCGAUUCUAUGUAUUUGUUGUUAGUUUGAGUGGAUAGUUUACAGUUUUUAUCAAGUUUGCUAAUGCUGUUCGACAAUAUUAUGAAAAAAGUUAAUGUAGUAAAUGACGUUAGCUUCAAAUAAUGACCACCGUCAGUAAUCUAUUUCAUUUAUCUCUUGAAAUCUCACGAUUUAAUCUUUUUUCACUACGAAUUCCAAACGAAUAAUUUUUUAUAGUCUCGUAUUCUCGAUGGACUCUGGUCCGGCUAAUCUUGUAGCUGAAAUGCUAUAUCCUUAAGUGUUCACAUGCUCUCUAUAUACUAAACUAUUUUCAAUGUUGAGUGUUCCUAUUCUGAUAGAAAAAAAAAAACAGUCUUCUUUCAACUGACAGUUAGAAAAGAACUUCUUGUAAGCUAUCCACAUACAAAGUUAAUAAGGUAGCUUUUACUGGCGAGGUGUGAGCGCGACAGCCGCAGUUCAUCUCACCGUCAUGGUAGCUUCGCUGUCAGUAACAUUAGCGGGCAUUCUAAGCCGACUCCUUGGUUCAAACACCUCACUAGUUGUAUCUGCAGAGAUGUGAGCAAAUUGUAAAGAAACAUAUUUGGGACUAACUAUUUGCAGUUUCAAAAGUUGAACUGCGUGUGCACUGAACUGUAACUGUGUGACGAGGACGAGUAUCAUGGGUAUAUUUAGAUUAUUAAAUCAAGUUAUCCGAGUAUUAAUUUUAUCCCGUCACAACACCUUCUUACUUCUUACAGAUCAGUAUAAACGCCAUAGAAUAAUUCGAGCAAAAAUCGAUCUUUCCUACAAUAAAACACACAGAUCUACCGUGUACUGCCUUUAUUUUCAUCUUGGACAUUUGCUCACAUCUCAAACUGACAGAUUAAUGGCCGAAUACUGAAACGUUACUCAAUUUUAAGUGCUGUAUAUGUGUCACUUUCUGCAACAGAAACAAAGUUAAGUAACAAUGACUUUUAAGCAAGUAAGACUUUGAAAUUAAGAACCGUUUCAAGUAAUUCUGGUGUAAAAUCAUAUCAAAAGAACUCAGUGAGGUAAACCAAAGAGUCGGUGUGGGCACGGGCGGGCGGGCGAUUAGCGGAGCGGUAGCGUGUGGUCGGUCGCAGGCUGGCUGCACUCGCUCGCGGGGCUGGUGAAGCGCCGCCUCAGCGGGUACGUCAAGUGGCAUCACCUUGCAGCCAGGAGCCAGCACCAGCACCAUGUGCAGCAUCGAUGGGGAAACAGCGAAAGUUGGAGCAUGCCGGCGUCGCCCCUCCCGCCCCGCGCGCCGCCGCCGCGCCCCGCCGACUAGCGCGCGACGCCACAGCCGCGCCUCACCCACUCCCACGUGGCUCACAUAACGCUUUGACACAUACAUCUUUCUUUCAGCUGUGGUCAACUCAGGUACAACAUGUUUUGUUGCUGGAUCCGUAAAACCGGUUUGUCGUACGACAAAUCGGAUGUUUCAUGCGAUGACAAAAUCGGUGUUUUAUUUAUGUUAUGAUGUCAUAAUGAAAAUAAAUUAUCGGUUUUGACGCUUUACCACACAGGAAAUAAAGUGGAUUACAUUAAAUACUGGAUAAUCAGAGAAUAAUUAUGUACUUGAGUCAUACAAGCCACGUUGUCCUCGCAACCACUGUUGUUCAACGUUCUAUGCUAUAUAUAAUUAUCGAUAGUAAACUAUAGAAAGACGGCACGAUCGCUUUGUAUUUUAUUACUGCUUAAGGUACGGUUCUCGUGCACGCUACUGAAAUAAUCGACUAAGAUUUCCAAGUCGCAGACUUUCUGCCCCCAAUUUUAGCAAAGUGU